GACGAACGCUGGCGGCGUGCUUAACACAUGCAAGUCGAACGAAGAGCGAUGGAAGCUUGCUUCUACCAAUCUUAGUGGCGAACGGGUGGGUAACGCGUAAUCAACCUGCCCUUCAGAGGGGGACAACAGUUGGAAGCGACUGCUAAUACCGCAUACGAUCUAACCUCGGCAUCGAGGAUAGAUGAAAGGUGGCCUCUAUUUAUAAGCUAUCACUGAAGGAGGGGAUUGCGUCUGAUUAGCUAGUUGGAGGGGUAACGGCCCACCAAGGCGAUGAUCAGUAGCCGGUCUGAGAGGAUGAACGGCCACAUUGGGAUUGAGACACGGCCCAGUCUCCUACGGGAGGCAGCAGUGGGGAAUCUUCCGCAAUGGACGAAAGUCUGACGGAGCAACGCCGCGUGAGUGAUGACGGCCUUCGGGUUGUAAAGCUCUGUUAAUCGGGACGAAAGGCCUUCUUGCGAAUAGUUAGAAGGAUUGACGGUACCGGAAUAGAAAGCCACGGCUAACUACGUGCCAGCAGCCGCGGUAAUACGUAGGUGGCAAGCGUUGUCCGGAAUUAUUGGGCGUAAAGCGCGCGCAGGCGGAUUGGUCAGUCUGUCUUAAAAGUUCGGGGCUUAACCCCGUGAUGGGAUGGAAACUGCCAAUCUAGAGUAUCGGAGAGGAAAGUGGAAUUCCUAGUGUAGCGGUGAAAUGCGUAGAUAUUAGGAAGAACACCAGUGGCGAAGGCGACUAUCUGGACGAAAACUGACGCUGAGGCGCGAAAGCCAGGGGAGCGAACGGGAUUAGAUACCCCGGUAGUCCUGGCCGU
rnacentral:rRNA from 1 species